rnacentral:rRNA from 1 species
GAUGAACGCUGGCGGCGUGCCUAACACAUGCAAGUCGAGCGAUUCUCAUCGGAGAAGAGCGGCGGACGGGUGAGUAACGCGUGGGUAACCUGCCCUGUACACACGGAUAACAUACCGAAAGGUAUGCUAAUACGAGAUAAUAUGCUUUUAUCGCAUGGUAGAAGUAUCAAAGAUCCGGCGGUACAGGAUGGACCCGCGUCUGAUUAGCUAGUUGGUAAGGUAACGGCUUACCAAGGCGAAGAUCAGUAGCCGACCUGAGAGGGUUAUAGGCCACAUUGGAACUGAGACACGGUCCAAACUCCUACGGGAGGCAGCAGUGGGGAAUAUUGCACAAUGGGCGAAAGCCUGAUGCAGCAACGCCGCGUGAGCGAUGAAGGCCUUCGGGUCGUAAAGCUCUGUCCUCAAGGAAGAUAAUGACGGUACUUGAGGAGGAAGCCCCGGCUAACUACGUGCCAGCCGCCGCAGUAA